GGAUGGAAAUGAGGACUUAGUCUGUUAUACAACUGACUGUGCUGUUUAGGGAGCUGUGGUUUCCCUUUGGCCUCAAGUCCUUCCCUCUCCCCGGGUUUUUCUUCCUUACGAACUGUGAUAUAGGCAUGAGUGGGGAUCAGCUGCAUAACGACUCCCAGAUUGAUCCAGAUUUCCGAGCGAAUGAGUUCUGGCUUGACUUGAAGCAAACAUGUCCAUGCAAGACCAUGCAAAAAUAUCAACAAGUUGAAGCAGUUCUGUAAAGGCAAAUGUGCAGAAAAUCUCCAAGCCAAUGUGUG